CCCUGCUGUCGGCCAUCUUGGAUAAUGGACCGACUGCAAAGUAACAACACUUGGUCAGCACCUCAUAAGGAACAUUCAUGCCAUGUUUGGUUUCAUUCCAUUCAGUGGUUCUCUAAAAGAAGACAUUUGUAUGUAUUUCCCAUAGGGUCCUAUGUUAAACUAAGUCCCCCGCUGGCGGCCAUCUUGGAUGAUGGACCGACUGCAAAGUAACAACACUUGGUCAGCAUCUCAUAAGGAACAUUCAUGCCAUGUUUGGUUCCAUUCCAUUCAGUGGUUCUCUAAAAGAAGACAUUUUUAUGUGUUUCCCAUAGGGUCCCAUGUUAAACUAAGUCCCCCGCUGGCGGCCAUCUUGGAUGAUGGAUCGGCUACAGAGUAACAACACUUGGUCAGCACCUCAUAAGGAACAUUCAUGCCAUGUUUGGUUUCAUUCCAUUCAGUGGUUCUCUAAAAGAAGACAUUUGUAUGUAUUUCCCAUAGGGUCCUAUGUUAAACUAAGUUCCCCGAUGGCGGCCAUCUUGGAUGAUGGAUCGGCUACAAAGUAACAACACAUGGUCAGCACCUCAUUAGGAACAUUCAUGCCAUGUUUGGUUUUAUUCCAUUCAGUGGUUCUCUAAAAGGAGUCAUUUGUAUGCAUUUCCCAUAGGGUCCUAUGUUAAACUAAGUCCCCCGCUGGCGGCCAUCUUGGAUGAUGGAUCGGCUACAAAGUAACAACACUUGGUCAGCACCUCAUAAGGAACAUUCAUGCCAUGUUUGGUUUCAUUCCAUUCAGUGGUUCUCUAAAAGAAGUCAUUUGUAUGCAUUUCCCAUAGGGUCCUAUGUUAAACUAAGUCCCCCGCUGGCGGCCAUCUUGGAUGAUGGAUCGGCUACAAAGUAACAACACUUGGUGAGCACCUCAUAAGGAACAUUCAUGCCAUGUUUUGUUUCAUUCCAUUCAGUGGUUCUCUAAAAGAAGUCAUUUGUAUGCAUUUCACAUAGGGUCCUAUGUUAAACUAAGUCCCCCGCUGGCGGCCAUCUUGGAUGAUGGAUCGGCUACAAAGUAGCAACACUUGGUCAGCACCUCAUAAGGAACAUUCAUGCCAUGUUUGGUUUCAUUCCAUUCAGUGGUUCUCUAAAAGAAGACAUUUGUAUGUAUUUCCCAUAGGUCCUAUGUUAAACUAAGUCCCCUGCUGUCGGCCAUCUUGGAUGAUGGACCAACUGCAAAGUAACAACACUUGGUCAAAACCUCAUAAGGAACAUUCAUGCCAUGUUUGGUUUCAUUCCAUUCAGUGGUUCUCUAAAAGAAGACAUUUGUAUGUAUUUCCAAUUGGUCCUAUAUUAAACUUAGAGCCCCGCUGGCGGCCAUUUUUUAUGAUGGAUCGACUGAAAAGUAACAACACUUGGUCAGCACCUCAUAAGGAACAUUCAUGCCAUGAUUGGUUCCAUUCCAUUCAGUGGUUCUCUAAAAGAAGACAUUUGUAUGUAUUUCCCAUAGGGUCCUAUGUUAAAAUAGUCCCCCGCUGGCGGCCAUCUUGGAUGAUGGAUCGACUACAAAGUAACAACACUUGGUCAGCACCUCAUAAGCAACAUUCAUGCCAUGUUUGGUUUCAUUCCAUUCAGUAGUUCUCUAGAAGAAGUUCAAAAUGUAAAGAGUUAAUGACGACGACGGACGACGAUGGAUGACGAACGCCAAUUGAUGAGAAAAGCUCACUAGGUGAGCUAAAAAGUGGGGAAAACUGAUUACUUGCAAAAAUUGUCGAAGUCCAAGGACCAUAACUCUGCACAAAAUCAUCAGACCGAAACAAAAUUCAAACUUUAUCUGUAACUGGUCAUGAUAAAACUAUAUACCAAAUAUCAAAUCAAUAUCUUCAAGCAUGAAGAAAAAAAGUUUGGAAAACUGAUUUGCCUGACUGAUGGAUGGACGGAGUGCAAACCUAAAGUCCCCUUCCACUUCGUCGGUAGGGGACUAAAAAUUACAGUGGAAUACAUAUAUUCCCCUUUUCCCACAUCAAUUGAGGGACAUGAAAAUAACCUUAACCUUCAAUAGAACAAAGGUUAAGAUAAGUCUUUGUCCUAGGGUACUCUCUCAGAAAGUAACAAAAUUAACAUUGAAGUUUAUUUCACUACUUAUUAAUUACAAAGAUAGUUAUGUAUAGUCAAGUUCUCAAUGAAAAAAAA